UCUUGCGCAAUGCGCGAAAGCGUGACGCAGCAACGCCGCGUGGGGGAAGAAGGCCUUCGGGUUGUAAACCCCUUUCAGUUGGGACGAAGCCUCGGCGGUUAAUAGCCGACCGAGGUGACGGUACCUUCACAAGAAGCCCCGGCUAACUACGUGCCAGCAGCCGCGGUAAUGCGUAGGGGGCAAGCGUUGUCCGGAAUCAUUGGGCGUAAAGGGCGCGUAGGCGGUCCGGUAAGUCCGCUGUGAAAGUCGAGGGCUCAACCCUCGAAAGCCGGUGGAUACUGUCGGACUAGAGUCCGGAAGAGGCGAGUGGAAUUCCUGGUGCGGCGGUGAAAUGCGCAGAUAUCAGGAGGAACACCGAUGGCGAAGGCAGCUCGCUGGGACGGUACUGACGCUGAGGCGCGAAAGCGUGGGGAGCGAACAGG
rnacentral:rRNA from 1 species